GUGGCAGUGCUUCAGAUUCUGAUGUUCCACGCAGGAAAGGUGAUGUGAAACUGUUUGGUCAGAUACUAAGUCAUGCCCCUUCCGAGCAAAAUUCGAGUUCUGGUUCGAAUGGGGGUGGAGAGGAGAAUCACAUAUCCAGCAGCAAAUCAUGCGACAUCGGAGAAAAUGUUCCGUUAAGGAGUUACGGUUUUUGGGAUGGAAGCAGAAUACAGACGGGUUUGUCUGC
rnacentral:misc_RNA from 1 species